GACGAACGCUGGCGGCGUGCUUAACACAUGCAAGUCGAACGCUGAAGCCUAGCUUUUGUUGGGUGGAUGAGUGGCGAACGGGUGAGUAACACGUGAGUAACCUGCCCCCUUCUUUGGGAUAACGCCCGGAAACGGGUGCUAAUACUGGAUACUCACUGAUCUUCGCAUGGGGGUUGGUGGAAAGGUUUUUUCUGGUGGGGGAUGGGCUCGCGGCCUAUCAGCUUGUUGGUGGGGUGAUGGCCUACCAAGGCUUUGACGGGUAGCCGGCCUGAGAGGGUGACCGGUCACAUUGGGACUGAGAUACGGCCCAGACUCCUACGGGAGGCAGCAGUGGGGAAUAUUGCACAAUGGGCGAAAGCCUGAUGCAGCGACGCCGCGUGAGGGAUGGAGGCCUUCGGGUUGUAAACCUCUUUCGCUCAUGGUCAAGCCGCAACAUUGGUUGUGGUGAGGGUAGUGGGUAAAGAAGCGCCGGCUAACUACGUGCCAGCAGCCGCGGUAAUACGUAGGGCGCGAGCGUUGUCCGGAAUUAUUGGGCGUAAAGGGCUUGUAGGCGGUUGGUCGCGUCUGCCGUGAAAUCCUCUGGCUUAACUGGGGGCGUGCGGUGGGUACGGGCUGACUUGAGUGCGGUAGGGGAGACUGGAACUCCUGGUGUAGCGGUGGAAUGCGCAAUAUCAGGAAGAACACCGGUGGCGAAGGCGGGUCUCUGGGGCCGUUACUGACGCUGAGGAGCGAAAGCGUGGGGAGCGAACAG
rnacentral:rRNA from 1 species